AACGAACGCUGGCGGCAUGCCUAACACAUGCAAGUCGAACGAGACCUUCGGGUAUAGUGGCGCACGGGUGCGUAACGCGUGGGAACCUGCCCUUAGGUUCGGAAUAACUCCCCGAAAGGGGUGCUAAUACCGGAUAAUGUCUUCGGACCAAAGAUUUAUCGCCUUUGGAUGGGCCCGCGUUGGAUUAGCUAGUUGGUAGGGUAAAAGCCUACCAAGGCGACGAUCCAUAGCUGGUCUGAGAGGAUGAUCAGCCACACUGGGACUGAGACACGGCCCAGACUCCUACGGGAGGCAGCAGUGGGGAAUAUUGGACAAUGGGCGAAAGCCUGAUCCAGCAAUGCCGCGUGAGUGAUGAAGGCCUUAGGGUUGUAAAGCUCUUUUACCCGGGAUGAUAAUGACAUUACCGGGAGAAUAAGCUCCGGCUAACUCCGUG
rnacentral:rRNA from 1 species